GGUCUCGUGGCUCAGCUGGUAGAGCAUGCGCGUACAAAGCGUAGGCGGUGUCCAUGCGUGGGUUCGAAUCCCUCCGAGGCUA
rnacentral:tRNA from 1 species